CUGAAAACCCUAUCAGCUUUCUUCUUCUUCUUCGUGGAAAAACUAAGCUAAAAAAGACCUAGAUCUCUAAGAGUUCAGCCGCAAAGGAUCAUAGAGGACCCCCCCUCCUGUUCUUCACCUUCUUCAACAUUUGAGGAUAGCAGCCAUGACCAUCUUCUUCAACAACAAAAUCACAGAUCCUAAGUCCUAACACACACAACCGUUCUUCAUCAGCUGGACAAAACAAACCAGCGAUAAUGGCAGUCAUUCCCUCUUAAGCUUCAGCCGCAGAAACUCUAAGUUAGAUCAUCUCUUUCACCUAAAAAAAUGACAGAGAAAUAAGCGGCCAAAAAGAUCCCUCAAACUUAAGACUGAAGACCGCAGUUUCCUCCACCCUAUCUCCAUCGCUUCUCUCAACUUGGAGGGCAAACAUCCACCACUGCUUCUUCUUCUCCGGUUGAAAUUCCGGCAAGCUCGAAUUCUAAGCAUCUCAAAGCUGAGUUUGAGUUCGUGACCAAUGGGAUGAGCCGAGGUUGAUUCUAGUUUGAGUUCGAGGUUUUCGUUAAGGUCUCCCGUCGCCGGCUUUUACUUGUAUUUCCAAACAGAAAUCGUUAAAUACCAUUGAAGGUAAAAUGUUCCUGUGAUCUUCUUCUUAGAUAUGUGAUGAAUUUGCAGCGUUUUUUUGUGGUUUAUAAUAUUGUUAAAUGAAGUAAUUCCAGCUGUGAAUACAAUCUUUAUUAACUCUAUAUUCAAAUGGCUACUUAAUAACUUUAAUCUCUCUUCAGAUUUCUGUUCGUUUUCUGUUAUUUGUUUUCUAUCCCUUUUACUAUUAUUCUUCUUCUUUGUCAUUUUUGGGUUUAUCAUUUUGUUUUUUAAAUAAUUUCAUUAGGAGUAGGAUGAAUUUAAUGGCAUAAUAUUACAAAAGGCAUGUGAGGGUAGUAACUAGUAAAGUGUAUGAAAUGUGCAUGCACUAAAAGAAAGAGGAAGUCGACUGUCCUUGAAACCGUUGCUGCCAUGCUUGUCAUGUUCAAGUGAAUUUAAAUGAAUUUAUGUUUGUCUGUUUGGUCUAUGUUUUCCAUGAAUUUGUUUCAUAUAAAUGUCUUAUGGGGCCAUGGGAUUUGGAUUUAGGCGCCUAAUUUGGAUUUAGGUGCAUUUCUAAAAACAAAACUGGAGUAUGCAUUCGCACAACUUCGGCCAAAUUUUCUUAAUAAUAAUAAGGCAUUAUUAAUUGUGGACACGUUUGCGAUAUGAUUUUUGACGCACCAAACAAAUGGUUAUACAUACGCGUGACCCGUUUCAAGAUAAUUUCCUAAUUAAAAGAGGCAAAUGCACAUAGGUUCUAAAAUCAGUAGUCAAACAAUUUGUUUAAGCCAAGUAUGAUCAAAGCGACCUUGCUAAAACUACGGAAUUCGAGAAUGCCUAACACCUUCUUCUGGGUUAACAGAAUUAUUUUCCGAGAUUUCUGUGUUCGCAGAUCGUGAAUAAAGUCAAACUUCCUCGAUUCGGGAUUCUAAACCGGUGACUUGGGACACCAUAAAUUAUCCCAAGUGGCGACUCUGAAUUUAAUAUGAAUAAUCCUGUUUCGAUUGUCACUUAAAUUGGAAAAAACUCCCUUAUACCCCCUUCUCGGGUGUAGUAAAAAAGAGGUGUGACAGCUCUGGCGACUCCGCUGGGGAUAAGAACCCAGAACUUCUGGUUCAGGGUUCAAGAAUUCGAGCUUGUUAUUAUGAUUUUUACUUGGGUUCAUUUAUUGUUAAUAUUGCCGUAUGUUGUGAACCUUUUAUGCUAAUUGCUGUUUGUUUACCACUUUAAUAUUAUUUGAAUUGUAUAUAACUGUCUUUUUAUGCCACCCCUCUCAGUCUUCUGAAAAUGGUGCACACGUUCGCGUGGCUCGCUUUUUCUGUAGAAGUUAUACCAAAUAAAACGAGGCUGGGCCAGCAACAAGGUCAGGUAGACUUCAGUGCUCCCGGUAUGUUGCCCCCUCUUCGACUCGAGUUGUCCGCUCGGGUAAGCCAGGUCAAGAACACAACCCCAGGUUUUAAACCUAGAAUAACAUAACCUUAUGUCGGAUCCCUAGUAUGAACGUUUGUUUGCAUCACGUAUAUUUGACUUAGGGGACUCAACACAGGGGUUGGGUCCGUCUAGGAUAAGUGUACCCAAAAAUAAAAGACCAUCGUGAUGCAUCCUAAAUGUGUUACAUGUUAUAAUCUUCAAGGGUAAAGGGGGUCAUUUGGCGGACCAAUGAGGUUUGAGGGUAAAUGAGAAAGAAAAGAGAUUGAAGUAUAAAAAUAAGGCAAAUAGGGUCCAGUUAUAAUUUUCUUUGACACUUUUUCAAGAAAAAAACAAAAAAUUAAAAUGAAAAAAAAAAUCCAAAAAGAUUCUGCACUUUUCCCAUCAUUUUCCAAAAAUCAAAAAAAGGGGAAAAGAAAAUCUAAAAAGAGUUUACAUGUUUCAUCAUUUUUUAGAAAAAAAAAUAUAUUUUCUCUAAAUAGUUGUUCUUUUCAAUUCUCGCCCGUAUCUAAUUUGCCCGGACUACGCGAACCUGAUUCUCGUCUCUCGGGGCGUGAUACGUAGGCAACCCACACAGGGUACGGUCUUCCUAGUGAGUCUUAGGUUCUUGGCUUCGCGGGGUCUUAGCCAAAUUUUGUGUUUUUAGCCACAUAAGUCAUUUUGCAAAAAUAGCCUCAACCAUGUAUUGCAUGUGUCUAGUAGGGAAUGUUAUUGUCUCACAUAGUGUUGGUUUUAGUUUUCUCAUACAGGUGUGGAUCUACUUACCGGAGUUUGAGCAAGACACAUAUCCCAGGAUCACUGCAUUCAGGAGCUGCCUGAGGAGCCUUUUUAUGUUUUUGAGUCUAUUGUUCAUGUUCUACUUUCUAGUCCUGUAUAGUAGUAUUCAGUCAUUUAGUUAAUGCUAGAGUCUAUCAUAGUCUAGUUAAGUUUAUCGAGUCUUUUGUUAUUAUUUCGUAUUUUGUAUUUGAAAAAUGUAUUAUAAAUCAAAACUCCAAAAAGA
rnacentral:lncRNA from 1 species